AGAGUUUGAUCAUGGCUCAGAACGAACGCUGGCGGCAUGCCUAACACAUGCAAGUCGAACGAAGUCUUCGGACUUAGUGGCGCACGGGUGAGUAACGCGUGGGAAUCUGCCUAUCAGUGGGGAAUAACGACGGGAAACUGUCGCUAAUACCGCAUACGCCCUUCGGGGGAAAGAUUUAUCGCUGAUAGAUGAGCCCGCGUACGAUUAGCUAGUUGGUGAGGUAAUGGCUCACCAAGGCUACGAUCGUUAGCUGGUCUGAGAGGAUGAUCAGCCACACUGGGACUGAGACACGGCCCAGACUCCUACGGGAGGCAGCAGUGGGGAAUAUUGGACAAUGGGCGAAAGCCUGAUCCAGCAAUGCCGCGUGAGUGAUGAAGGCCUUAGGGUUGUAAAGCUCUUUCGGGUGGGACGAUGAUGACGGUACCACCAGAAGAAGCCCCGGCUAACUUCGUGCCAGCAGCCGCGGUAAUACGAAGGGGGCUAGCGUUGUUCGGAAUUACUGGGCGUAAAGCGCACGCAGGCGGCUCGUUAAAUUAGAAGUGAAAGCCCCGGGCUUAACCUGGGAAUUGCUUUUAAGACUGGCGAGCUAGAAUCCAGAAGAGGGUAGUGGAAUUCCGAGUGUAGAGGUGAAAUUCGUAGAUAUUCGGAAGAACACCAGUGGCGAAGGCGACUACCUGGUCUGGCAUUGACGCUCAUGUGCGAAAGCGUGGGGAGCAAACAGGAUUAGAUACCCCCGUAGUCC
rnacentral:rRNA from 1 species